UAUGAAAGCUGAGAAAAUUAGGAUUCAGGGGACGUUUUAAACAUGUCUCUAAGUUACUCCUUAUAACCACGGAGAAAUGAAUCGAAACGCUUUAGGGAAAGGCGUGCAAGGAGACAUGUCCCAGGCAGUGUUCAAGCCUAACAGACCAAAGAAAACUCCAGCUCUUCACAGAGUUUUAUGCUGUCUCUUAUGAGAGGCAGCAGGCUAUCAUUCUCUCUGGUUUAGAGCAGCACAAGGUGAGUCGCAGACGACCACGUGGGCCCGACACUGAGAAUACUAAGAGGAAGUACACCUUCAAGUACCAUGUGCAACAAGGAGGCCAAAGACUUGCUGUUUGUAAGCUCACAUUUAUGUCAGUCUUUCAACUGACCAACAGUCGCCUACAGGCAAGUUUUAUACAGCCUAGCUUUUUCCAUUUGUUAACUUUUUAUUACAUGCAUGAUUUUAAUUAGAUACAUUGUCCAUAAAAUAUUUAUUUAAAGUUACUUAUCUUUGAAAAGGUUAUUCAAGAAAAGUUAGGCAGUCAGUCUGAGGGAACAGAGCAGGUAGUC